rnacentral:rRNA from 1 species
AAUGGUCGUCCCUAUGAUUAAGCCAUGCAUGUCUAACUCAUACCUAGUAAAGUGAGACUGCGAAAGGCUCAGUACAUCAGUUAUAGUUUAUUCGAUUGUGAAAUCCACAUGGAUAACCGUGGAAAAUCUAGAGCUAAUACAUGCGAAAAAAGUCAGAUUCCCCAGAAUUUAUGAUGCAUUUAUUAGAUAACCAAUUGUUGAAUACUUUUCGGAUUAUCAUUAAGGUGAGUCUGGAUAACUGUGCCGAUCGUAUGGCCUUGAGCCGGCGACAUUUCGAUUAAAUUUCUGCCCUAUCAACUUGUUGGUAAGGUAGUGGCUUACCAAGGUGAUAACGGGUAACGGGGAAUCAGGGUUCGAUUCCGGAGAGGGAGCCUGAGAAACGGCUACCACAUCCAAGGAAGGCAGCAGGCGCGCAAAUUACCCAAUCCAGACACUGGGAGGUGGUGACGAGAAAUACCAGGUCGGUCCUAAAAGGAUUCGACACUGGAAUGAGAUUAACUUUAAAAAUUAAUCGAGUAACAACUGGAGGGCAAGUCUGGUGCCAGCAGCCGCGGUAAUUCCAGCUCCAGUAGUAUAUCCUAAAGUUGCUGCGUUUAAAACGCUCGUAGUUGGACAAGAGAACUUUUUCAGUGCGGAUGGGAAAGUACCAUGAUAUCUAGUAUAGUAUUCUUUUCGGGAUAAUCUCAAUACUAUUUAUUAUUAACUUUGUCAAUCAUGCUGCUAAUUGGUUCAUAAUGUUUCGUGAGAAUGGUACAUGACCUUUAAUGUGUUGUGUAUUAUAUCUUACGUAGUGAUGCCUUGAAUAAAUCAGAGUGCUCAAAGCAAGCUAAUUAUUGCUUGAAUGUUAAUAGCCAUGGAACCGAAAUGUUUUGUGUUAAAGUAGAGUUACAUACUGAAACCUUGUUGCCAAUAUGGGAUCUACCUUAUUACAGAACAUUGGAUAUCCGCGCUACCAAUGAAGAUUAAGAGGGGCAUUUGGGGGCAUUAGUAUUUGGCCGCGAGAGGUGAAAUUCUUGGACCGGCCAAGGACUAACAAGUGCGAAAGCAUUUGCCAAGUAUGUUCCCAUUAAUCAAGAACGAAAGUGAGAGGUUCGAAGACGAUCAGAUACCGUCCUAGUUCUCACCGUAAACGAUGCCAACCCGGGAUCAGUUCGGAUGUAAUUUGUAUGGAUCCAGGUUGGUCCCCCUGGGAAACCUUGAGUUUUUAGGUUACGGGGGGAGUAUGGUUGCAAGGCUGAAACUUAAAGGAAUUGACGGAAGGGCACCACCAGGAGUGGAGCCUGCGGCUUAAUUUGACUCAACACGGGAAAACUCACCUGGUCCGGACAUCGAUAGGAUUGACAGACUAAUAGAUCUUUCAUGAUACGGUGGGUGGUGGUGCAUGGCCGUUCUUAGUUCGUGGAGUGAUCUGUCAGGUUUAUUCCGGUAACGAACGAGACCAUAGUCUCCAUUUUGGGUAAAUGAAUAAUAGCAAUUUAUGCUGCUACAGUAGUAAUAUUGGGAGUUGUUGUAUUUUGCUAAAUUUGUCUUACGUGCAGAAAUGCGCGACCUAUGGAGAGACAGCCGGAUUUUAAGCCGGAGGAAGCGUGGCAAUAACAGGUCUGUGAUGCCCUCGAUGUUCAGGCCGCACGCGCGCCAUGAUGACACACAGUCCUGGACUGAAAGUCCUGGUAAAUCCUGGAAAUUAC